UGGGGAUGACGUCAAAUCAUCAUGCCCCUUAUGUUCUGGGCUACACACGUGCUACAAUGGCCGGUACAGACGGACGCAAAGCCGCGAGGUGGAGCAAAUCCUAAAAAGCCGGUCUCAGUUCGGAUUGCAGGCUGCAAUUCGCCUGCAUGAAGUCGGAAUCGCUAGUAAUCGCAGGUCAGCAUACUGCGGUGAAUACCGGUUCCCGGGCCUU
rnacentral:rRNA from 1 species